rnacentral:rRNA from 1 species
CCUACGGGCGGCAGCAGUGGGGAAUAUUGCGCAAUGGGCGAAAGCCUGACGCAGCGACGCCGCGUGAGGGAUGAAGGUCUUCGGAUCGUAAACCUCUGUCAGCAGGGAAGCACGGUCACUGUGCUAAUCAGCAGUGAAUUGACGGUACCUGCAAAGGAAGCACCGGCUAACUCCGUGCCAGCAGCCGCGGUAAUCCGGAGGGUGCGAGCGUUAAUCGGAAUUACUGGGCGUAAAGCGCUCGUAGGCGGUAUGUCAAGUCAAGGGUGAAAUCCCCGCGCUCAACGUGGGAACUGCCUGUGAACCUGGCAAACUUGAGUGUGUGAGAGGAUAGUGGAAUUCCAGGUGUAGGAGUGAAAUCCGUAGAUAUCUGGAGGAACAUCAGUGGCGAAGGCGACCAUCUGGCACAUAACUGACGCUGAGGAGCGAAAGCGUGGGUAGCAAACAGGAUUAGAUACCCGGGUAGUC